ACAGACUUGAUUAUAUACAGACCGCCACCAUACAGCUGGAAUAUUGCAGAGUGUGGCGUAAAACUAACCUCACUCACUCCAAAUAAGUGACGGUGAGUAAGAUGACUUCAUAUCAUGUCAGACAGUGUCUCUCAGAGAAUAUAGGACCAUCCAGGUGAAACUUCAAGACAGUGAACGGUCACAAAAUAUCCAAGACCAGUACUUUCAAAGGUCAAAAGAUGACAUUAUCUGUCUUUUGAUACUUAUUUCAAACAAGAACCUGAAAUCUGCUGAAAUGGCUGUUAAUCAACUUAAGUACUUCAAUCAGAAACAUGACAAUAUAGAUCUGGCUUGCUAGUACUUCAAACAAUUACAAGAUGAUAUAGGUCUGUCAGUACUUCAAACAAUUACAAGAUGAUAUAGGUCUGUCAGUACUUCAAACAAUUACAAGAUGAUAUAGGUCUGUCAGUACUUCAGUACUUCAAAUACUUCAGUAAUACUACAAUGGAGUUAGGUUCAUCUAGUUGCUGAAUCAUCAUAUUCAUCCUCAGAACAAUACUGACUUAAUGUACACGCUUCUGUUGUUUAUAUUCAUGAAACAUGGCGUUGUUAUCAGACAUAGGGGCAUUUUCUGCAUCUCCCUGAAAUCAAAUUCAAGUUGAUGUGUUGAAAAAUCAACAGAUGAUGUAAAUCAAGAAAUUAAUGCGUCACCAAAUUUAUGCAAGCACCAUCAACCUGGUCUAGAAUACAUCCUGAAAUUCAUGUGGGCAUCCAUACUGUUGAAAACUGAAAACAUCUCAUUCACUGGCAACUAUCAAGGAAUCAUUAUCACACAGUUUACAGUAUUCACAAUUCAAUUUCAGUAACAUCAUGGACUUUUCGUAUAUAUCUCAGUUCUCUUAUGAAUUCACAAUGCCAUGUAGAAAGGGGUCUAAUGUAACGCACGUUAUAUUUGGGAUUACACUUUAUCAGUAAAGUACAGAUUCUAGUACUUUUAUUGGUUUGAGUCCCAUCUGGGAUUCAAACCCACCCACACACUCAGUCAGGCACCUAAUCGCAAGCACAUAAGUCAGCCGUCUAACCCACCCAGUCACCACGGCUUCCACCCAGUACUCUUGUUAGACAUGAGACUUAACUUAUAAGCCAAGGGUUUUCAGAGUGAAACAAAAAGAUUAAAACAACAAAAAAACAUUUCUCAAAACAUCCAAUGAUUUUGUAAGAGCAGAAGCCAAUAUGGUUCCCAGCGUUACAUCAAUAAACUUUUGUUUAAAACAAAGUAGCUUUUUAUGUGAUAAGUGCCAUUGUUUCUGGUAAGUGCAGUCACUGUGCAUCCAAAACAAUAAAAGACAAUAACACAAGCCAUGAUAAAAGUUUACCACUUCAUGAAAUUGAGCAAGUGUGACAAGCAUUCUUUGAAUUAAUUUCAUGAUUUACAACAUCCAAAACAAUUUUGUAUAAAUAGUUCUCUUCCUCAGAAGGUCAAGGACGUUUUACUUCCAUAUCUGUCCACCUGUCUGUUGUCUGUUGUAUAUACGUUUCUGUAGUAGAUUAGAUACGCAGACUGCCAUUGCAAGAUGGUCAUUAAGUUUACUGUCCUGUCACAGAUGAUAGGAAUGGAUGAUAUAUGUAUAACUUUGCUGUGUAAUAAAGAUUGCUUACAUA
rnacentral:lncRNA from 1 species